AGGGUUUGAUUAUGGCUCAGGAUGAACGCUGGCGGCGUGCUUAACACAUGCAAGUCGAACGAAACACCUUAUUUGAUUUUCUUCGGAACUGAAGAUUUGGUGAUUGAGUGGCGGACGGGUGAGUAACGCGUGGGUAACCUGCCCUGUACAGGGGGAUAACAGUCAGAAAUGACUGCUAAUACCGCAUAAGACCACAGCACCGCAUGGUGCAGGGGUAAAAACUCCGGUGGUACAGGAUGGACCCGCGUCUGAUUAGCUAGUUGGUGAGGUAACGGCUCACCAAGGCGACGAUCAGUAGCCGGCUUGAGAGAGUGAACGGCCACAUUGGGACUGAGACACGGCCCAA
rnacentral:rRNA from 1 species